rnacentral:rRNA from 1 species
AUUGAACGCUGGCGGCAUGCCUUACACAUGCAAGUCGAACGGCAGCGCGGGCUUCGGCCUGGCGGCGAGUGGCGAACGGGUGAGUAAUACAUCGGAACGUGCCCAGUAGUGGGGGAUAGCUCGGCGAAAGCCGGAUUAAUACCGCAUACGACCUGAGGGUGAAAGCGGGGGAUCUUCGGACCUCGCGCUAUUGGAGCGGCCGAUGGCAGAUUAGCUAGUUGGUGGGGUAAAGGCCUACCAAGGCGACGAUCUGUAGCUGGUCUGAGAGGACGACCAGCCACACUGGGACUGAGACACGGCCCAGACUCCUACGGGAGGCAGCAGUGGGGAAUUUUGGACAAUGGGGCGAAAAGCCUGAUCCAAGCAAAUGCCCGGCGUGUGUGAAUGAAAGGGCCCUUUCGGGGUUGUAAAAGCCACCUUUGGCGGGAAACGAAAA